rnacentral:rRNA from 1 species
CCUACGGGAGGCAGCAGUGAGGAAUAUUGGUCAAUGGGCGAGAGCCUGAACCAGCCAAGUCGCGUGAGGGAGUACUGCCCUAUGGGUUGUAAACCUCUUUUGUCGGGGAGCAAAAGCCGGACGUUUCCGGCUGUGAGAGUACCCGAAGAAAAAGCAUCGGCAAACCCCGUGCCAGCAGCCGCGGUAAUACGGAGGAUGCGAGCGUUAUCCGGAUUUAUUGGGUUUAAAGGGUGCGCAGGCGGAUUUUUAAGUCAGCGGUCAAAUCGUGGGGCUCAACCCCAUCCAGCCGUUGAAACUGGGGGUCUAGAGUGGGCGAGAGGUAUGCGGAAUGCGUGGUGUAGCGGUGAAAUGCAUAGAUAUCACGCAGAACCCCGAUUGCGAAGGCAGCAUACCGGUGCACAACUGACGCUCAGGCACGAAAGCGUGGGUAUCGAACAGGAUUAGAUACCCCUGUAGUC